CCUGUCAACUACAGGCUGGGAUGUGAACCGACGGCGGGUUUCCCGCCUCAUACUGGUGACUAUAAGAGCGUGGAAAAUUCCGACCCUACGGGGGUCGGAUAUUCACACAAAUUUAUAGCCACCAGUAUCAGUGGUGGCGAAGCCACCCAGGGUUUGAACCACACA
rnacentral:ncRNA from 1 species